rnacentral:lncRNA from 10 species
AAGAAAGGUGGCUGUCUGCAAGUCAAGAAAAGAGCCCUCAUCAAACCAAAUUGGCUGGCACCUUGAUCAUGGACUUCAGCCUCUGGAGCUGUGAGAAAAUGAAUUUCUGUCAUCUAAGCCCCCCAGCCAGUGGUGUUUGUUAUGACAGCCCAAGCAGACUAAGACACUGCAGAUACACACAACAAUACACCACGCUGAGCAUAAUGCGCCCGAGUCAGAGGCCUGCAUCCAGUCUUUCCCAAUUUCAGGACCUGCAAACUUGUCUCCAAGUUCCUGCCCUCGGUGCCUUGCACUCUGGCCACUAGAUGGCGGUGUUGCAUAGGGUCCCCGCUGGCUCCAGUCCACAAGAGACUCCACUUAGCAGGACGCCUGACCUCCAGACUCCGACCUCCACCCAGCAGGGCAAGACCUUCCCUGGAGACCCAUGGGUGGACCUCCCAUUCUCAGUGCCCAAAGAAUUCCUGCCCUAGAUGCUGUCUCAAUGUUGCACAGGCUGGUCUCAAACUCCUCAGCUCAAGUGAUCCUCCUGCCUUGGCCUCCCAAAUCCUUCUCAUUUUUCAAGACUACUGAGAUGUCACCUCCUCUGGAAAGCCUUCUGGGAUUGUUCUUCCUAGAGAGCUGAACAUCUUCUGAGGACUUCGUAUCAGCACCAUGCAUUUGUCUGCCAGCUGUACUCGCUGAACUGUGUUCACUAAUAACCACUGGGGAAUGAUUAUUCCCCAAUGUCUUUCUAAUGUCUUAGAAUUCGUGACCUAGGGUUUGCCAACCUGAGGGCCCAUAGCGGCCAGUUCAGGAUGUCGGGGACUGCAGUAAACCAGAGGAUUUAUCCGGUGGUCGCUCCUUAUUUUGGCCAGCAGGGCCGUCUGGAAAUGACAGUUCAGUGUUGCCAAAUCUUCUACCAGUUUUGAAACACUGACGAUAUGGUUUGGCUCUGUGUCCCCAUCCAAAUCUCAUGUUGAAUUAUAAUCCCCAGUGUUGGAGGUGAUGCCUGGUGGGAGGUGAUUGGAUCAUGGGGCGGACUUCCCCAUUUGGUGCUGUUUUUGUGAUAGAGUUCUCACGAGAUCUGAUUGUUUAAAAGUGUGUGGCACCUCCCCUCUCUCUUCCUCGCACUCUGGCCAUGUGAAGUGCCUUGUUCCCCCUUCGCCUUCCGCCAUGAUUGGAAGCUUCCUGAGGCCCCCCAAGAAGCAGAUGCUGCUGUGCUUCCUGUACAGCCUGUGGAACCAUGAGCCAAAUAAACCCAU